UAUAAUUUGAAUAUGCUUUGUUGAUACUGUCUGAAAAUUACCAUCUUCCUUCUAAUUGUAGAAAGAGCCAAAGGCAUACAAUGGCAGGCUUCUGUCUGUGUGGUUUCUUUUGGUACCCAUGCCAAGAAUAGAAAAAGAACCAGAAGAGGACAUACCAAAAAAGUACAUGCAGAAAAGAACGUGGAGGUGGAUUCCUGGUCUGCCUCUAAUGAAUGCUGGAUGGCUUUCUCCAAAUACAAGUCCCAGUUGAAAGAGUGUCUCCUCCAUAACGUCUCCCCUGAACCUUUGAGCCAUUUGUGACUGCCAAUUCACCAGAUGUAGUUUCACAUAUCUAAUGGAAGCAAUAAAAUGUCCUACU
rnacentral:lncRNA from 1 species